CCUACGGGAGGCAGCAGUAGGGAAUCUUUCACAAUGGGCGAAAGCCUGAUGGAGCAACGCCGCGUGCAGGAUGAAGGCCUUCGGGUUGUAAACCGCUUUUAUAAGCGAGAAAUAUGAUGGUAACUUAUGAAUAAGGAUCGGCUAACUCCGUGCCAGCAGCCGCGGUAAUACGGAGGAUCCAAGCGUUAUCCGGAUUUAGUGGGUGUAAAGGGUGCGUAGGCGGUUUGAUAAGUUAGAGGUGAAAUCCCGGUGCUCAACACCGGAACUGCCUCUGAUACUGUUGAACUAGAGUGUAGUUGCGGUAGGCGGAAUGUAUGGUGUAGCGGUGAAAUGCUUAGAGAUCAUACAGAACACCGAUUGCGAAGGCAGCUUACCAAACUAUAUCUGACGUUGAGGCACGAAAGCGUGGGUAGCAAACAGGAUUAGAUACCCUUGUAGUC
rnacentral:rRNA from 1 species